rnacentral:rRNA from 1 species
UGGGGAAUAUUGCGCAAUGGGGGAAACCCUGACGCAGCGACGCCGCGUGCGGGAUGAAGGCCUUCGGGUUGUAAACCGCUUUUGAUUGGGAGCAAGCUUUCGGGUGAGUGUACCUUUCGAAUAAGCGCCGGCUAACUACGUGCCAGCAGCCGCGGUAAUACGUAGGGCGCAAGCGUUAUCCGGAAUUAUUGGGCGUAAAGAGCUUGUAGGCGGUUCGUCGCGUCUGGUGUGAAAGCCCAUCGCUUAACGGUGGGUUUGCGCCGGGUACGGGCGGGCUAGAGUGCAGUAGGGGAGACUGGAAUUCCCGGUGUAACGGUGGAAUGUGUAGAUAUCGGGAAGAACACCAAUGGCGAACGCAGGUCUCUGGGCUGUUACUGACGCUGAGAAGCGAAAGCGUGGGGAGCGAACAGG